rfam:Pteropus alecto contig166455, whole genome shotgun sequence.
GGCUCCCUAGUGUAGUGGUUAGCAUGUCUGUUUUACACGCAGAAGGUUCUGGGUUUGCAUCCCAGGUGGGGCCA